rnacentral:tRNA from 1 species
GGCCAGGUAGCUCAGUUGGUAGAGCACACGACUGAAAAUCGUGGUGUCGGCGGUUCGACUCCGCCCCUGGCCA